UCUAGCGAUACAGUCGAUUUGAUCGGCGAUAGCUUUGCCAAAGACCACUAGUUCCAGAAGACUAUUAGCGCCCAGUCGAUUAGCGCCGUGAACAGACGCACACGCGGUCUCACCAGCUGCCCAGAGACCUUCGAUCGGUAUGCCGCCCAUGUUAUAAUGCACCGUGGGAAUUACGGGGAUCGGUUGCUUUGUCACGUCUACUCCGGCGAACACCCAGGCGAGGUGCGAAAUUCCGGGUAACCGCUCGUGUAUCAGGUUGGCUGGCAGUAUUUCGAUGGUCAUAGCUCUGGAGACGAUGUCGCGGGAGGCCAGAUCCUUAGCUACAGGCGCAUACUUUUCCAUGAAGAAUUCCCCGUUGGAGUUGAGCAGUUUGCCACCUUCUCCUCUGCUGCCUUCAGUGAUGAGUAUGCCGCUGCCAUAAAUGCCUUUAACGCGAAAAACGUCAGUCGAUCAGCUGAUCGUGAGAGAACAACAAGAAAUUGCGUCGAUGAAUUUACGACGAUCUGAGAAUACCGGUCGGAUGAAACUGGAUGAACUCCAUGUCCUGCAACGGCAGUCCUGCUCGACAUGCGAUUGCCAUACCAUCGCCGGUGCAGGCGUGCGCAGCGGUGCAGGAGAAGUAACAUCUUCCGGAACCACCCGUUGCGAUUACCUGUAAAGCGAUAAUGCAUUUCAAUUAGCAUUAAAUUUUACAAAAUCAAUAAUAAUCAAGUCGAUGAUGAAUGAAAGAGAAAAUGACUUCUCCUGUAAAAAUAUAAGAACACAGAGAGAAUUUGCUGUUGAAACUUACCCCAAAAAUCUAUUUUAUAAGAGUUUCUCUGAUUAAAU